UUCCAUGAGGCGGUUCAUUCACGGCAACAGUCUUCGUAUAAAUACCACUUGGCUCUCUAUCAGUCUCUGUUAUCUUCCCCUUUUCAAACCUUCGAUCUCUCUUCUCUGUAAAUCGCCAUUGUUGACGAUUCGAAGAUCGUGAAAUGACUUACUGUUAUGGUUAUAAGCCUCGCCCUUCCGGUCCACUCCCCGGCCCUAUCCUUGUGCUUCUCACAGUAGUCUUCAUCUUGAUCGGAUUGUCCUCCUUGUUCCCCUCUGAACCUAUCGACUUCUCCGAGUUUCAAGUCAAUUGGCCUCUUCUCGCUGUUCCGAUCAUUAUACUCGUUCUCGUUCGCUUUUUGUCGUCCGUGGAUUCUUCAUCCAGGCACUGCGCUUGCGAUCGCGGCUGGAAGAUGCAUUGUCGGUGCCGCCAUGGCGCGUGGUAACUUAAUUUAAUUGAAAUGCGUUUCAUCGCUUUAUAUUACUUAUAAUUGUUGUGUAAAUUAUUAUUCGGUGUUUAUGUGAUACCGUUUUGAUUGUGGAAGUGCUGAAGGAUUUUGAUCGAUUCUUGUUAAAGGAUUGAAGGUUGUAUACGAUGUGAUGAUGCGUUUGUUCUUAGAUAACAUGUGAAGCGAAAAGUUUAAUUGAGAUUUUUUCUCAAUUCGUCUUGUUUCGCGUGGUUUAGGGACAAUUCGUUAACUAUUGACCUUGAACUUUCUGGAUUUUGAUCUGUUCUUGAGAAAUAGAUUGUCAAUAAAACAGAGCAUAAAAGUUACAACAUGUAUCGGUGGAAUUCCUUCCUUUGUCUGACUAUUAGAUAGUAUUAACAAUAGAGAUUGAAUCGAACUUUAAGUCUAAAAUUUAGGAGAGGAAUUGAAAUCUUUUUUAUGAUUGAGAUUUUUAUCUCUGAUGAAAAUCCUUCCAUCAACAAAAUAAAAAUAAAAUAUUUUAUUAUUAACUUAUUAAUGAAGUAGCCCUUUGCAUUAUGAUUUU